rnacentral:precursor_RNA from 12 species
AGGUGAAUUUUUGAGCUGCUGAAGUACCACUAGCCUUUCUGAAAUCACAUUGUUUGUAUGACUCGCUGAACAAUGUGUCUCAGAUUGGUGUGGACCUUUAGUACUCACAACAUCAUCAUCU